UGGGGAAUUUUGGACAAUGGGCGAAAGCCUGAUCCAGCCAUGCCGCGUGCGGGAAGAAGGCCUUCGGGUUGUAAACCGCUUUUGUCAGGGAAGAAAUCUUCUGAGUUAAUACCUCGGGAGGAUGACGGUACCUGAAGAAUAAGCACCGGCUAACUACGUGCCAGCAGCCGCGGUAAUACGUAGGGUGCAAGCGUUAAUCGGAAUUACUGGGCGUAAAGCGUGCGCAGGCGGUUUUGUAAGACAGAGGUGAAAUCCCCGGGCUCAACCUGGGAACUGCCUUUGUGACUGCAAGGCUUGAGUGCGGCAGAGGGGGAUGGAAUUCCGCGUGUAGCAGUGAAAUGCGUAGAUAUGCGGAGGAACACCGAUGGCGAAGGCAAUCCCCUGGGCCUGCACUGACGCUCAUGCACGAAAGCGUGGGGAGCAAAACAGGAUUAGAUAGCCCUGGUAGUCCACGCCCUAAACGAUGUCAACUGGUUGUUGGGAAGGUUCCUUCUCAGUAACGUAGCUAACGCGUGAAGUUGACCGCCUGGGGAGUACGGCCGCAAGGUUGAAA
rnacentral:rRNA from 1 species